GGCAGGAGGAGGAGAGGAGGCUGGGGGCUGGAGGGAGAGCAGUGAGGUGCAACUGACAGGACUUGUCAGCGUCGUGGUGUGGGGAGCAGGAUGAGGACAGAGAGUCAAGGUGACACCCCAGUUCUGGUCCGAGCGCCUGGAGGAUGGAGUGGAAUGUGGACUCGGAGGAGGUGAAACCGAUGCUUUGGCCGUUUUAGGUGGACAUCCCCCCUCAUCUCCCACCCCCACCCCACCCCCGGCUUCAGGGCCCGGGCCCUCGGGGUGUGUCUUGCUUCUUCUCGGGUCAGCUGUGACCCCUGCACAGUCAUGGCCUCAGCUUGUGGCGCGUCCGAGGCCCCUCGGCGGCACGCAGAGGACCAGGCUCGGAGAUGCCGCGUUGGCUUUAGCUUCUUCCCCGGCUUUGAUCCGAGUUUCGCCGUGUGUGGCAGGCUCUCGGUGGUGUCCGCAUAGAGGUUCUAAUUGUUCCACGUUUUACUGUCCAUUGAAUCUUCCCUCUCACUGGAUUCCUUUUGUCUAUUUGAAUGGUUUUCUGGGGACAUUGCUUUAAACCACCCGCCUGAGAGAGAGAGAGAGAGAGAGAGACACUUGGGGACUGUGGGCUCUUAUCUUUCCUGGUCCUCCGAGUUCCACAUUAAAAGUUGAGUUAGAAGUUGUCUGAGUGUCUGUAUCUGUUAUAACAAACUGCACACACAAGUCCCUGGUCUGUUUUCUAGGUGUUUCCAGCAACGUUUCUGUGGAUAAGGAGCAGAUACUGUCCAAACGGGAAAACGAGAAUGGCUGCAUCCUGGAGACCCUGCGCUGCGCGGGCUGCGCGCUGUCCCUCGGCUACAUCUACCGGUGCACGCCCGGCCACCUGGACUACAAGAGGGACCUGUUCUGCCUCGGCGUGGGGGCCACGGAGAGGCCCAGUACCUGCUCGCUCCGUCUAACUCCGUGGUGCAGUUACGUCCUAGGGUCCUCCGAGAAGCAGAUCGUGUCGGACGACCAGGCGUUCAGUCUUGAGAGCAGAACGGAAAUGGAGAACUCACUGAAGCAGAUGGAAGAGGUUUUGAAAAUCUUGCAGACAAAGCUGCGUGACAUGGAAACGAAGUUGUCCUUGGCCAGUUCCAGGUCCGAGCUGCGUCCCUAGUGCCCGCGGCUCCGCUGAGGUCGCCGUUCUUGCUGCCGCUUCGCCGGACGGGGGUCUCGUUGGCCGGGCACCGGCGUGUCCUCGCACCGGCACCGGGAGUAGCUGCGGACUUGCUGUUGGGCUCUGUUUGAUGGUGAAGAGAUGACUGUUUCCCGUAUUGAGUUUUACACCCGUUUUGUGACACUUGCUGGGAAUAGAAUGCAGGAGUGUUUGUUCCGAUCAGGAACGGCCAUGCUUUUCUGACCUGUUUUCUCCUCGUAUCCA